GACGAACGCUGGCGGCGUGCUUAACACAUGCAAGUCGAACGGAAAGGCCUUUUCUGCGGUGCUCGAGUGGCGUACGGGUGAGUAACACGUGGGUGUUCUGCCCUGCACUCUUGGAUAAGCCUGGGAAACUGGGUCUAAUACCGGAUAGGACCGCCCUUUAGGGCGGGUGGUGGAAAGUUUUUUUGGUGUAGGAUGAGCCCGCGGCCGAUCAGCUUGUUGGUGGGGUAAUGGCCUACCAAGGCGGCGACGGGUAGCCGGACUGCGAGGUUGGUCGGCCACAUUGGGACUGAGAUACGGCCCAGACUCCUACGGGGGGCAGCAGUGGGGAAUAUUGAACAAGGGGCGGAAGCGUGAUGCAGCGACGCCGCGUGGGGGAGGACGGCCUUCGGGUUGUAAACUCCGUUCGCCAGGGACGAAGCGGUUUGUGACGGUACCUGGAGAAGAAGCACCGGCUAACUACGUG
rnacentral:rRNA from 1 species